rnacentral:rRNA from 1 species
GGCACCUUCGGUGUCCGAGUUGUAAUUUGAAGAAGGUAACUUUGGAGUUGGCUCUUGUCUAUGUUCCUUGGAACAGGACGUCACAGAGGGUGAGAAUCCCGUGCGAUGAGAUGUCCAACUCUAUGUAAAGUGCUUUCGAAGAGUCGAGUUGUUUGGGAAUGCAGCUCUAAGUGGGUGGUAAAUUCCAUCUAAAGCUAAAUAUUGGCGAGAGACCGAUAGCGAACAAGUACAGUGAUGGAAAGAUGAAAAGAACUUUGAAAAGAGAGUGAAAAAGUACGUGAAAUUGUUGAAAGGGAAGGGUUUGAGAUCAGACUUGGUAUUUUGUAUGUCUUGCUUUCGGGUGGGGCCUCUGCAGUUUACUGGGCCAGCAUCGGUUUGGACGGUAGGAUAAUGACAUUGGAAUGUGGCACUACUUCGGUGGUGUGUUAUAGACUUUGUUGAUACUGCCUGUCUAGACCGAGGACUGCGUCUUUGACUAGGAUGCUGGCAUAAUGAUCCUA